rnacentral:rRNA from 1 species
GCGGAGUUAGGGCAUACUCUAAGCGUAGUAAUAUUCUUCUCGCUUCUGUAGUUGUCCUGGCGGCUUGCCGUUAAACCCCUAUAUUUCUAGUGGUUGACCUCGGAUUAGGUAGGAAUACCCGCUGAACUUAAGCAUAUCAAUAAGCGGAGGAAAAGAAACCAACAGGGAUUGCCCUAGUAACGGCGAGUGAAGCGGCAACAGCUCAAAUUUGAAAUCUGGCCCUAGCGGUCCGAGUUGUAAUUUGUAGAGGAUGCUUUUGGUUAGGUGCCUUCUGAGUUCCCUGGAACGGGACGCCAGAGAGGGUGAGAGCCCCGUACGGUUGGACACCGAGCCUCUAUAUAGCUCCUUCGACGAGUCGAGUAGUUUGGGAAUGCUGCUCUAAAUGGGAGGUAAAUUUCUUCUAAAGCUAAAUACCGGCCAGAGACCGAUAGCGCACAAGUAGAGUGAUCGAAAGAUGAAAAGUACUUUGAAAAGAGGGUUAAAUAGCACGUGAAAUUGUUGAAAGGGAAGCGUUUGCGACCAGACUUUUUCCAGGCGGAUCAUCCGGUGUUCUCACCGGUGCACUUCGCCUGGUUUAGGCCAGCAUCGGUUCUCUUAGGGGGAUAAAGGCCUGGGGAACGUAGCUCCUUCGGGAGUGUUAUAGCCCCUAGCGUAAUACCCUUCGGGGGACCGAGGAACGCG